GAUCAUGCUCAGGAUGAACGCUAGCUACAGGCUUAACACAUGCAAGUCGAGGGGCAGCAUGGACCCAGCUUUGCUGGGUUUGAUGGCGACCGGCGCACGGGUGAGUAACGCGUAUCCAACCUGCCCUUUACUCCGGGAUAGUCUCCUGAAAGGGAGUUUAAUACCGGAUGUGUUUGUCUUUCCGCAUGGGAGCGACAAAUAAAGAUUAAUUGGUAAAGGAUGGGGAUGCGUCCCAUUAGCUUGUUGGG
rnacentral:rRNA from 1 species